rnacentral:rRNA from 1 species
UGCCAGACUCCUACGGGAGGCAGCAGUGGGGAAUAUUGCACAAUGGGGGAAACCCUGAUGCAGCGACGCCGCGUGAGUGGAGAAGUAUCUCGGUAUGUAAAGCUCUAUCAGCAGGGAAGAAAAUGACGGUACCUGACUAAGAAGCCCCGGCUAACUACGUGCCAGCAGCCGCGGUAAUACGUAGGGGCAAGCGUUAUCCGGAUUUACUGGGUGUAAAGGGAGCGUAGACGGCAGGGCAAGUCUGGAGUGAAAGGCAGGGGCCCAACCCCUGGACUGCUCUGGAAACUGUCCGGCUGGAGUGCAGGAGAGGUAAGCGGAAUUCCUAGUGUAGCGGUGAAAUGCGUAGAUAUUAGGAGGAACACCAGUGGCGAAGGCGGCUUACUGGACUGUAACUGACGUUGAGGCUCGAAAGCAUGGGGAGCAAACAGGAUUAGAUACCCCGGUAA